ensembl:lncRNA
GCUGAGGUUGCACUGCUUGUCUGCACAGAGAUUGUACUGGUUGUAGGAGCUGAGGUUGCACUGCUUGUGUGCACAGGGGUUACACUGGUAGUAGGAGUCGAGGUGGUGCUGCUUGUCUGCACAGAGGUUGAGCUCGUUGUAGGAGCUGAGGUUGUGCUGUUUGUCUGCACAGAGGUUGAGCUCGUUGUAGGAACUGAGGUGGUGCUGCUUGUGUGCACAGGGGUUGCACUGGUAGUAGGAGCCGAGGUGGUGCUGCUUGUCUGCACAGAGAUUAUACUGGUUGUUGGAGCCGAGGUUGCACUGCUUGUCUGCACAGAGAUUAUACUGGUUGUAGGAGCUGAGGUUGCACCGCUUGUGUGCACAGGGGUUGCACUGGUUGUAGGAGUCGAGGUGGUGCUGCUUGUCUGCACAGAGAUUGUACUGGUUGUAGGAGCUGAGGUUGCACUGCUUGUGUGCACAGGGGUUGCACUGGUUGUAGGAGUCGAGGUGGUGCUGCUUGUGUGCACAGGGGUUGCACUGGUUGUAGGAGUCGAGGUGGUGCUGAUUGUGUGCACAGAGGUUGGACGGGUUGUCGGAGCUGAGGUUGUGCUGCUUGUCUGCACAGAGGUUGAGCUCGUUGUAGGAACUGAGGUGGUGCUGCUUGUCUGCACAGGGGUUGCACUGGUUGUAGGAGCCGAGGUGGUGCUGCUUGUGUGCACAGAGGUUGCACUGGAUGUGGCCUCAUGGAAGGUGGUCCCUGUGUGCACAGUGACACUCACACUGGAGGUGCUGGUUACUGUGACAGUCGGGGGAGGGCAGUGUUCUUGGGGCUCGCAGCACAGCACUCUGAUCUGGUAGUUGAGGCACAGCCUGGUCUUGCCCUUCUGGUCCUGGUUCCGACACAGCAGGCCCACGUCCUGGUGGCACUGUACCAGCUGGCCCAGCUCGUGGAUGCUGACCCCGGGGUGGUUCUCGGCUCGGCACUCCACUUUGCUGAUGGAUUCAGGUCGGUGGCAGAUGCUGUCUCCAUUCCUCAUGAUGUUGCCGAAGGUUUCAUUGUCUCCCCCGUGGGGCCCGGGCACUGGGAAGUCCACGUCGAGCCAUUUGGUCCACCUGCACUUUGGCUUGCAGGGGGUGGUCCCUGGAGAGGACUGCUCGUGCGUGCUGGGCGUGCCCCAUCUUGAUGGGGUCACGUGAGGUGAGCUAGCAGUGCU